AAAAAAAAAAAAAAAGUUUAUUUGAAAAUUUUAUUUUUUAAUGGACACAUUGUAAAGGCACAUAUUUAUGGGCACGAUUUGAUGUUCAGAUAAAUAUAUGUUGUUGUCUUAAUUUAAUUUAGGAGAGCUAAAUAAUUAAACAGGCCAAAGUACAUAAGAAAGCAGCAGCCUUUUAUUGCAAAUAUGCACACACUCUUGGGGUAGGUUCUCCAGUCCUCAGGUAUGGGGCCAGGGAAGCCCACCGGCCUCUGCCGGGGAACUUUUAUGCAUUGGUACUGGAAGGGGGAGGGCAGUGGGCGGGAUAAGGGCGGGAUAGGGGCGUCUCAGUAGGCGUGGCCGGGUAAGUUUGAUUUCUUCUGAUUGAGGUCACCUGGCCGAAGCUCCGUUGCCCUGCACUUUCCCGGCGCGGGAAAGUUGGUGAUGAACAACACGGAAGCAAUCGGGACUGUGCCAUGUUGUUCACCUUCCUCCAUUUUGGUCCCUUCUCCCUCACCCAAACAGUCUAACCUCUUAUUAAUUGUAGGAAUUUGGGGCGCCAUUGUCAGUCUGGCUGUUUCCUGCUGUUAAGGGGCGUAGUUAGGGUCUGAGGUUGGCAGUUGGGUGUAGGGAUGCAGGAGCAUUUGGUUGAAGGUGACUGGGUGAUUUCUUGGACCCUAGCUCGGAGAAAUUUUAUUAGAAUGGGAGCAAAGCAUAAUAUAAGACAGAGGAUUAGUAUGGGAAUUAGGAAUGGAAGCAUCUGCUGUACUACAGGCAGCAGCGAUACCAACAAUUUAAGGGGGCAUUAAAUUGUUGAAGCUCCUUUUUGAUUUUGUUUAAUGUUUGGACCUUGGUGUCAACCAGGCCUAAUCCAUUUAUGUAGUAGCAACACUCCUCUCCUAGGGAGAGGCAUGCUCCUCCUUUUUCAGCAGUAAGAAGAUCUAAUGCCCGCCUAUUUUGUGCUGCUACCUGGGCUACUGAGGUGAUUUGACCUUGUAAAGAGGCUAGGCUUUCAGCUGAAGCCUCUAUGGCUGCUUGGACCUGAGUGGAGAGGGUCUGUGUGGAUUGAAUCGAGUGGGUAAGGGCCCCUGUUCCAAGUCCUGAGGCUACUAGGGACGAUGCUAGGGAAACCCCGAUAACUAAGGGAAGAAAAAUGGCCCGUUUUUGGAUUUUAUUGCUGGAAGUGGUAAGCUGGGAAGCUAGCUCGGACAAUUCUCCUUCGCCAUAUAGGGUUAAAGUAGCCACCUCGCCCGGCCAACUCUUUUUCUAUUUGAUAUUCUUUUGGAGUUUGUACUUGUUUAACCUGCAUUUGAGGUUGUAAAGUUACAGGCAUCUGAGCUGCUGUAAGAGGAGUUGGCCAUCGUGGUUUAGACUCUGAUGGCUCUGCUAAUUCUGGACCUUUUUCUUCUAAUUUUAACGUUUCAGGAUAUGUUACCUCCUGUAAUUGAUUAUCGUCAACAUUUUGCGUUGACCGAGCCCUUACCAGCUCUGCUACACAUUUACAGUGUGAACUUUCUGUUCCUUUCCGGGAUUCUAUCCCUGCCUCUUUUUCACAAUCUACUGCACAGCUUUUAGGGACAUCAGAAAUUGGAAUGCUAUCUUCUUCUGUUUGAAAUGGUUCUAAAGCUACUUUAAUAAUGACCCAAUCAUUCCAUACUGUGAGCGGAAUGAUUUUACCUUCCCUACUUGCUUGUUUUAAUUCUUUGCCAAUUUUUUCCCAGUCUUUUAGAUCUAAAGUUCCCUGUUUCGGAAACCAUGGACAAAACUUUCUAUUGUUUGAAAUAGUGUAAUUAGAUUUUUGGUAGAGACUUUAACUCCCCCUCUUUUUAAAAGAAUUUUAAUAAAGCUGCGAUAAGAGGCAUAUUUACUUUUAGUUUGCCCCAUUGUUACCCUAGGUUCUUCCAAGUGCACAAGCUUACCACAAGGCUGACUGUAGACGUACUCGGGGGUCUCUCGUCGACUUGUCCUCAGUGACCACGCUCCAGCGUACCUUCACCUUAGAGAAAAGCUCCCACUUUGGGCACCAGAUGAAGGGGUGGCCUGCCCCUCCACACCUGUGGGCGUUUCUCAUUCGGUGGAAUGAGAGACUUGAGAAAAGAAAUGAGACACAGAGACAAAGUAUAGAGAAAGAAAAAGUGGGCCCAGGGGACCUGCGCUCAGCUUACAGAGGACCCACGCUGGCCCCGGUCUCUGAGUUCCCUUAGUAUUUAUUGAUAAUUAUCUUUACCAUCUUAAAGAUAAGGGAGUGGCAGGACAAUAGGAUCAUCGAAGGGAGAAAAUUAGCAGUAAGACAUAUGGACAAAGAUCUCUGUGACAUAAAUAAGUUCAAAGGAAAAUGCUGUGCCUUGAUAUGCAUAUGUAAACAUCUCCACAAACCUCUUAGCAGCAUUGCUCCAGCAAGUCCUGCCAGCAAGUCCCACCUUAUGCCAUAAGGCGGUUUUCUCCUAUCUCAGUAAACAGAGCAUACAAUUGGGUCUCACACAGAGAUGUUCCAUUACCCAGGACGGGCAGGAUUUUUAACCAGCAAGCUGCCUUCAGGCAGUUGUUUAACAAAGACACAUCCUGCACAGCCCAAAAUCCAUUAAACCAUGAGUCACCACAGCACAUGUCUCUUGCAAGGACAAGGUUGGGGGUAGGGUCACAGAUUAACAGCAUCUCAAAUACGGAACAAAAUGGAGUCUCUUAUGUCUACUUCUUUCUAUAUAGACACAGUAAGGGGCUGAUCUCUUUUUCUUUUCCCCACAACCGGGUAUGUUGGGAUUACUGCCUCAUUAAUGAUAUGUAAGUCCUGAACUAAUCUGUAUGCCCCUGAAGGUUUUUUGACAGGGAGGAUGGGAGUGUUACAAGGAGAAUGGGUGGGAAUUAAAAUUUGUUGUUGGAGUAGACGAUCUAUGAUGGGUUUGAUUCCUUGUCGGUGAUGCAAUGAGAGAGAGAACUGGGGGCGAGACGGAAAGUGGGUAGGGUCUUUUAAGCGAAUGAGGACUGGCUUAUGGUGUUGGGUGACUACCGGGGCAGAGGUGUCCCAUACCUGUGGGUCAACCAACACUGGAAACGUUGGGGAGGGGAGUUUAGGACCUUGGUUAUGGGGGCACAAAGGCGCUAUGAGGGUGAUGUUAGAGCCAGGGUGAGGACGAAAGGGAAUGGAAAUAGAUGCCUUGAGUUUGGUUAAGAUGUCUGGUCCUAAGAGUGGGGUGGGACAGGAGGGCAUGAUGAGGAAAGAGUGGGCAAAGCAUGCAUAGUCCAGGCAGCAAUUUAACAUUGGGGUCUGGCGAGGGUUAGACAGCUUACUGUCUACCCCAACUACUGAGAUAGUGGAUGGCUGGCUAGGACCUCCAUAGGUUGACAAAACAGAAUAGGUAGCCUCUGUAUUGAUGAGAAAAGAAAUUGGCUUACCCGCUAUCUGUAGAGUUACCCUAGGCUCGGCGAGGGUGACUGGGGUCUCCGAGUGUGGGCACCGUCAGUCGUCAUCCAGGUGUAGGAGCUGGAAGGAGCCUUCCGGCCCUUGAGGAGAGGCACCACGUUGAGGUGCAAUGCCUGCCCUGCUGGUGGGGCAAUCAGACUUCCAGUGUCCUUCCUGUUGGCAGGUUGGGCACGGCGUGGUAGGCGGGUGAGGAUUUGGACACUGUUUUGCCCAAUGCCCAGUUGUGCCACACUUAAAGCAUGGACCAGAUGGACUGGCCAGCUUGGCCUGGGGACACUGGUUUGCCCAGCAUCCUGGGUCUCCACAUUUAUAGCAGGAGCCCUUAAAAGACUUAUCUUUGGUUUUCCCUGCCAGCAAAGUGGGCAACGCAGGUUGGAGGGCAGCCACUAAAGCUUGUGCUUGGAGGGCGGCCUUCUGUUUUACCCUGGUUUGUCGAAGAGCUUCCGCUGCUUCUUCCCUAGAGUUAAAAACUUUGAAAGCCAGCUUCGGCCGGGCGCGGUGGCUCAAGCCUGUAAUCCCAGCACUUUGGGAGGCCGAGACGGGCGGAUCACUAGGUCAGGAGAUCGAGACCAUCCUGGCGAACACGGUGAAACCCGUCUCUACUAAAAAUACAAAAAACUAGCCGGGCGAGGGCGGGCUCUGUAGUCCCAGCUACUCGGGAGGCUGAGGCAGGAGAAUGGCGUAAACCCGGGGGGCGGAGCUUGCAGUGAGCUGAGAUCCAGCCACUGCACUCCAGCCCUGGUGACAGAGCCAGACUCCGUCUCAAAAAAAAAAAAAA
ensembl:lncRNA